GCGCCUACUUCCGGGGUAUGGAGCCUCGAAUAGUUCCAAACAACCAUUUUACGGCGUAGGAGACCGUUCAUUUCCAUUGCUGGCCGCCGAGUAACUUCUGAGGGUGAUGUUCAGCACAUGAAGCCCUACAGAUGCCGCCGAUUCAACAAUGCUGAUUAUGAUGGGCGGUCAAUUUAACCUUUGCCUUAUUAGGUCCUCCACAGUCGCCCCAUCAGUCCCUGGCAGUCUGGUCCCUGGAGCAGCUGGCCCUGGCAAAAGUUAUUCCUUCACUGUUGACCCCUGACUGACUGGCCCUCGGCACACAAAUCCCUGGAUCACCUGCCCC